GCUAUACAUGCAGUCGAGCGCAGGAAAUCGACGGAACCCUUCGGGGGGAAGUCGACGGAAUGAGCGGCGGACGGGUGAGUAACACGUAAAGAACCUGCCCUCAGGUCUGGGAUAACCACGAGAAAUCGGGGCUAAUACCGGAUGGGUCAUCGGACCGCAUGGUCCGAGGAUGAAAGGCGCUUCGGCGUCGCCUGGGGAUGGCUUUGCGGUGCAUUAGCUAGUUGGUGGGGUAAUGGCCCACCAAGGCGACGAUGCAUAGCCGACCUGAGAGGGUGAUCGGCCACACUGGGACUGAGACACGGCCCAGACUCCUACGGGAGGCAGCAGUAGGGAAUCUUCCACAAUGGACGAAAGUCUGAUGGAGCAACGCCGCGUGAACGAUGAAGGCCUUCGGGUCGUAAAGUUCUGUUGUAAGGGAAGAACAAGUGCCGCAGGCAAUGGCGGCACCUUGACGGUACCUUGCGAGAAAGCCACGGCUAACUACGUGCCAGCAGCCGCGGUAAUACGUAGGUGGCAAGCGUUGUCCGGAAUUAUUGGGCGUAAAGCGCGCGCAGGCGGCCUCUUAAGUCUGAUGUGAAAGCCCCCGGCUCAACCGGGGAGGGCCAUUGGAAACUGGGAGGCUUGAGUAUAGGAGAGAAGAGUGGAAUUCCACGUGUAGCGGUGAAAUGCGUAGAGAUGUGGAGGAACACC
rnacentral:rRNA from 1 species